UCUAGAAUAGCUUAAAUGUAAAGCACUGACUUUGUAACUCAGAGAUAAAUUAUAUAUUUUUUUAGAU
rnacentral:tRNA from 1 species